AAAUGAUGUAUCUAAUUUUAUUUUUUAAUUAUCAUUUAUUAACAUUUUAAAACAAUGUAUACAUCCAAAUUUUGUUUAAAUUAUACUUGAAUUUUGUUUAAAAAAAGGUUAAUUUAGAUGAAUUUGGCCACAUAGAAACAACAUCUGAUUUGAAUUACAAUUGUGAUAAGUGCAAGGAAAUGGCCUACUAAAAAGCACAACUUGAUCCUCCAUCACCUUUGCAAUGUCAUUCA
rnacentral:lncRNA from 1 species